ACCCAGAGGCUGCUUCCAAAACUGCUGUGCUCGAGUGUGAGAGAGGCUCGUGGAAUUGCAGGUGUAGCGGUGAAAUGCGUAGAUAUCUGCAGGAACACCCGUGGCGAAAGCGGCGAGCUGGAUCACUACUGACGCUGAGGAACGAAAGCUAGGGGAGCAAACAGGAUUAGAUACCCUGGUAGUCCUAGCCCUAAACGAUCAGGACUUGGGGUGCCGCCCGUUCGGGCGUCGUCCCGGAGCUAACGCGUUAAGUCCUGCACCUGGGGAGUACGGUCGCAAGACUGAAACUCAAAGGAAUUGACGGGGGCCCGCACAAGCGGUGGAACAUGUGGUUCAAUUCGACGCUACGCGAGGAACCUUACCUGGGCUCGAAAUGCUAGUGACCAGCUGUAGAAAUACGGCCUUCCCGCAAGGGACACUAGUAUAGGCGCUG
rnacentral:rRNA from 1 species